GCGAUUACCACCCUGUUGGCUCAGCGCCGCCCUUGCGCCGACCGGACUCCGCGGCCGCCGCGCCUUCUCACCGACUGCCAGUGCCAGCCAAGGAAAGCCCCGCCGCGUCGCGUCAGCGCUACGCUGAUCCGUCAGCGGAGUGAAGUAGGCCGUUUCUGGCGGCGGGGAAGGGGGUCUUUCGUAGCAACGGCGAGCCCCCUACCCUAAACCCUAGGUGCGACUCGCCCCAGCCAAGCGCUGUUUCCGGAUCCCCCCCCUUCGCCGGCGAUGAACCGGCGGCCGGAGCUCUGCAGGAACUACCAGCGCGGCAGCUGCAAGUACGGGGCGCAGUGCAGGUUCGUGCACGCCAACUCCAACCAACAGCAGCAGCAGCAGGCGAAGCCCAACCCCUUCGGGUUCGGCGCCGGGAGCAGGCAGCAGCCGCAGCAGCAGCCGUUCGGUGUGCAGUCCCAGCAGUUUCAGCAGCAGCAGCAGCAGCAGCAGAAGCCCAAUCAAUUUGGGUUCGGCGUGCAAGGCGGCGCCGCCCAGCAGCGGAACGAGCCUGGCCCGGCCAAGCCUUUUCAAAAUAAGUGGGUGAGGGAUCCCUCGGCGCCGCCGACGAAGCAAGCGGAGGCGCAGCCAGCACCGCAGGCGGCCCACACAUCCUGUACAGACCCCGAGUCCUGCAGGCAACAGAUAUCUGAUGACUUCAAGAAUGAGGCUCCCCUGUGGAAGCUUACUUGUUAUGCUCAUCUCAGAAGUGGUCCUUGUGACAUUACGGGGGAUAUUAGCUAUGAGGAGCUGAGAGCUAAAGCAUACGAAGAGGGCAAACAAGGGAAGCCUAUGCAGUCAAUAGUUGAAGGAGAAAGAAAUCUACAAAAUGCAAAGUUGACGGAGUUCACUAAUUUGCUGAACAAGGCACGUGCAACACCAAGCUUUCCUACUGCAGGCUCCUUCCCAGAAGUGAAAAAUAACUCAACCUUUGGGAGUUCUCAAACUAAUGGACCACCUGUGUUUAGUAGUUUCAAUCAACUUGGAGCAGCAACAAAUUUUGGAUCUGGGCCAAGAACUGCCGCACCAGGAGUUCCAACGAAUACCAUUUUCGGUCAGCCUACACAGUCUACUCCAUCGUUUGGUGCCCCUACUUUUGGCAGUACUGGAAUGAGAUUUGGAGUUCCAGUUGGGAGCCAUACAUCAAAGCAAUCAUUUGGGAGUUACCAAGGCUCGAGCAUGUCCAGCAACAGCAAUUUUCAGAACUCUACUUCGUCUGGCCAUCACAGAGACAUUGAUAAGCAGUCAGUGGAGUUACUUAAUGGGAUGACACCACGUACAAGUGCCAUGGACCAGGCACCUGUUGAAGACAGUAGAAAUGAAAAACAGGAUGAUAGCAUUUGGCUGAAGGAAAAAUGGGAAAUUGGACAGAUACCGCUGGAUGAGCCGCCACAGAGGCAUGUUAGCCAUGUAUUCUAAGAAGUCGCGGAAUUUUGCAAUUGUGGAGGCAUGAUCCUGUCAAUGCCCUUUAGUGGUUUCUUUCUAUGUAGUUGAGGUGGCAUCAAAGUCUCCUCCUCCUGAGCUCAGUGAUGAUACGGAGAAGCAAGCUGGAGAGUGUACAAUAAUGUAGAUGAAGGCAGAUCGAUUCGAUGCGGUGCUUGGCACCACUUACUUUUGCUUGCCCCCGUUUACAGAAGGCAACUAGAGGUAGAAACUAUAGAAAGCAAACAGUUGACCAGUCUCUGCUGCAUGUAGUACAUCAUGUGUUUAUUACAUGCCUUAUUCAUGAAGUGAUAUGCGGAGGAACCAAAGUAAACCGGAA